rnacentral:lncRNA from 1 species
GGGCGUUGGCCUUUUCUUGGCUUUCCUUGAAUGCCUUUAGAGUUCUGGAUGUUUGUUGCCUUGAAGAUCAUGGGUAAGUUAAUUAAUGUAGCUUCUGAUUUCGAAUAUCUAUUAUUCUCAAUUUUUCUUUUAGUUUUGGAGGUAGGUUUUGCUUCCUCAUAUCUUUUUCAAUUCUAGGCAAAUCCAUUCUUAAACUUUGAGGUUGUGCACAUUUGAAAACUUGUGCAAGUUUCUUUUUUUAAUUGCAUUAUUCUGAUUAUGAUGAUUUAGUGAUUAGAAUUUCAAUCAUCUAGGAACUUUGCUUACGAAAUUUUUCCCUAAAGAAUUGGGGUUCUUACAAACUUGAAUAAUAUUAUCCAGUAAUAUUGUUUGUGGAAGUUUUCCUUAUAGAAUAUGGGUAGCCUUAAGCUUUUGAUAUUGAAUACUUAAUAAGAUAUUACUUCGUCCUCAAACUAGUAACAAUCAGGCUGUUGUUACUAAUGUUUAAAGGUAACAAUCGUGGAACUUCUCCUCUUUGUUGGUAUAGGGAAAGAUAAACAAUUCUACGAAAGAUCAUUGUUAGGAAAUUUUUCUUCCUUCUUAGUGUACAAAGGGUAAACAUUUUUAGAGGAAUAUUAUUAGGGGACUUUUCCUCUUUAUUGGAUUAAAAAGAAGUGACUUAUUCUAUAAAAAUAUUAUUGUGGAACUUUUCCUACUUGUUGGCCUAGGAAAUUUUUUUUUGCUUUGUAGGCUUAGGAAUAGUGAUCUAUUCUAGAAGAUUAUUAUUACGAAACUUAUCCUUCUUGUUGGCAGCCUAGGGAAGUGUUUCCUGCUUAUUGGUGUAAAAACAAAAAAUGAAUUUUUUUCGAAGAAAUAUUGUUAUGAAACUUUUCCACCUUAUUAGUGGAAGGAAAAAAUGAAGUAUUCCGGAAGAAUAUUAUUAGGAAACUUUUGUCCUUAUUGCUUAGGAAAAUAGAGUACUCGGCAGAAGUCAACUUUUCCCUUAAUAUAAGAAGGACGUAGAUUUUUCUUUUGAAUUAAUGCUCUAGGAGGAAAUUUAAUUUUCCCUCGAUGUAGGAAAGAAUAUUAAUUGUUCUAGAAACCUUUCUUUGAGCUAAAGUUUUAGGAAAAAUCUACUUUAUCCACAACACAAGAGGGAAUAUUCCUUAUUUUUGGAACUUUUUUCUUUGAACUAAGGUUCUAGGGGUAAAUGUACAGGGAAUAUUUCUUGUUCUUUGAACUUUUACCUUGAAUGAGGUUCUACGAGAAAAUCUAAUUUACCAUUGGCAUAACAAGGAAUAUUAAUUAUUCUUAAAAUUUUUCCCUUGAAUUGAAGUUCUAGUGGGAAAUUUAAUUUACUCUCAACAUAAAGAGGGGAUAUUAAUUGUUCUUAGAACUUUUUCCUUAAACUAAAGUUCUUGUAGCAAAUAUAAUUUACCCUUGGCACAAGAGAGGAUAUUAAUUGUUCUUAUAACUUUUUCCUCGAAAUAAAGUUCUAGUGGGAAAUCUAUUUUUCCCUCAACAUAAGGAUGGAUAUUAAUUGUUUUUAGUACUUUUCCCUUGAAAUGAAGUUCUAAGGGAAAUCUAUUUUACCCUCAAUAUAAGAGGAAAUAUUUAUUGUUCUUAGAACUUUUCUCUUGAACUGAAGUUCGAGGGGAAGUCUACUUUACCAUCGACAUUAGAGGGAAUAUUUCUUGUUGUUAGAAUUUUCCUAUGAAUUGAAGUUCUAGCGGGAAAGAAAAUUUUCCAUAGGUAAUUUGGUCAGUUCUAAAAUGGAUUUUUAGAUUUUUGGAAACAUAUAUGACAAUGUAUAAGAUGAUCAUGAACACUCAUGAAACAAUGAUGAAUAUGGAUUCUCGUGAGAUGCAAGAUAUGAAUGUUUAUGUAUGCAAAUGCUCAUUAGUGCAAUGCAUGAGUCCUUUGAGAAUAUGAAAUAGUUUUUAAAUUUUAUGAUCAAUCAUUCGAGUACAUGAGCUGUACAUUAUCAAUUGGAUAAAUAUUUCCAAGGGUUGACAUCAUUCAUAUUGUCGUAAUAGCUAAAAUGUAAUGUUCUUCGUCUCCAUGCUAUCAAUCUAAAUAAGCAUUUUUAUUAAUCUGGAAUGUCAUUCAAAUGGAAUUUAGCUUUUUCCCUAUGGCAGCUAUCAUGGCAUCAUUUUCUGUGGAAGCCACCUGGAAUUUUUUUCAGGAGUCUCCUUAAGAUCUUUUGAAUUCCCUUCUGUAGGUGAUCUCAGAACCUUUGUUCUCUAUUAUUAUCAAUCCUUAUAUGCCUUCUUUGGGUUUGUUCGCGUGAGUUCUGACCUUUAUUUUAGUGGGCCAAUUUGUCUUUCCACCUGUUCUUUCCAUUCUAAUAAGGAAUAAUCUAGAAUAAUUCACAAAUCUAAAUCAGCUAAUUGUUCCUGGAUAGCAACUGCUUGGUUUUCUAUAGCUACUCUUUUGAUUGUUGCUCAAGGGCAAGCAAUUUCGCCUUCAAUUUUUGGUUUACCUUCUUUAUCUCCUCUAUUUAUCUGGUGGACUUAUGUUAAGACAUCACUGGUUUGCACAUUUCAUUCCUCAAUAAAUGUCUCUAAAAUAUCAUGUUCUGAAUAUUUUUCAAUAGGUAUUUCACUUGAGAAAGCUGGAGGAAAUUUUUUUUGGGAUAAGCCUAACCACCGACUACUUUUUUUGUGUGCAUUUAAGUAUGUUUUCCCUCUAUUAGCCUCUCAUUAUGUUUAUUUUGAACAGUAUUUAAAAAUGGCUAAAGUUUACAUAGGGAACUUUAGAGAGGCAGAAUCUUUUGGUUGGUUGGUUGUACAUUUGAACAUUUUUCAUCUCCCCUACUUUUUGAUUGUUUGGAGAGAAUUGUGUUAAAACACUUUCGAGUUCUCCAAAAUUAUUGUAUGGGUAUAUGAUCUAGGCUUAAAGAAAAUUUUGCUUAGUCUCUUUUCUCGUUAUGGAGAAGGCGAAACAACAGUAUAUUUAACAAGAUAGAUAAAUAAAUAAGUAAAGGGGAAUAAGUAGUUUCCAUUCCUCACAUAAUCAACAUCUAACAUUUUAAAAUUUACAAAAAAUAAAAGAGUAAAUGCAGAAAUGUAAAGGUUAUAUUCGUAAAGAUAAUUGUUAGUUCAAUAAGAUUUAAAAAAAAUUAGAUUAAUCCACGUUGGCGUAAUACCUUUUUGUAUAUUCCCCAUCAGGAGGUGAAUAUUUGGGUUUCCGAUUGCGUCACUCGUGGAUAAGUCAAGUAAAAUCAGAAAUGACAUAAUAAAAAUUAAAAACAAAAUGUGUGAACAUGUUAGAUGUAGAAUCAUAGUUGUUACAUUAGAACAUAGAGUUAUUUAAUCCAUAUCGGCUUAAUAACCUUUAUAUAUUCCCUCUUAUAUUUCCUUAGCGUCACUCAUGGAAAAAUAAAGAAAUACUAGGAAAUAAAUAAAAUGGCAGAAAUGUAAAUAAGCCAGAAUAGUUGUCAAGGUAUUAGCAUAAUUAAAAAGAAAAUAAAGAUAAAAUAAAAUAAAAAAUAAAUUAGUUUUAGUUUUAGUUUUAAUAACUAUUUUGACCAUCUUGUUUGCCUACUAUUUGGUCAAAGUCUAAUGUUGACCAAAUGGGUUUUUCAUUUUCUUUACUCUUUAUUUCCAACAACUCACAUGAAGGGAAGACCUCCAUUUUUGAGCUUGGACUUUUAGCUUUAUUGCCUCUAUAAUUAUGUUUGAGGUUUGGAUCUCACAAACUAUACACAGCCAAAUCUAAUCUAAAAAAGGUGAUGGUAGAGUGUUGGUUGCAUGAGUUUUAGUGAGAGAAAAAAAUUUCAGCAAGUUCCCUACAGACGAUGCCUAUGAAGGUUCUAGAUUUUUGCCUUCACACGAAUUUCUAGUUUGUAAAGAACUUGUAAUCGAUCAGGUAGCCUCGAAUCCAACAGGUUGCAUACUUAAAAAAGGCAUUAUGAUGCUCAAGUUAGUGUUUAAUUUUGAUUGAAGAAAGAAGAAAGCAGAAAAAAGUAGGUUUUCUCUCUCUUUAGAAUGAACAAUGCUCUUCUAAGGCCAAGAGACCCCUUUUUCAUAGAGGUGGUCAUUAUUUAUAGAUAAUGCGUUAUAUGGAUUUAUGGUUUUGCCUUCAUCUCUUUUCUUAACGACACGUGUCUCCGGCCAUUAUUGUACACAUAAAUGUGAAUUUGAUUGUAGAGAAACAAAUAUACUUAUUCUGCAUCAACGUGUUUCUCUACUCUUAUGAUUUUGGCCGUGAUUUCCUAAGGCCAUGGAAUUUGGAGUCAGAAUGAGUUUUCCCCCUGUUGUCAUUUUCACAUGUUCUUGAGAAAUUUUAUUUUACAUAUUAUUCCCUCAAAAUAGAUUAGAUGUUAUUUUUCCCGAAAUAAUUUUUUUUUCUUUAAAAGGAUGGAGACAUGACAUAGUUUGGUGCCUUUGAAAUAUGGCACCUAGAUCUUGCAAAUUCGAAAUUCAAAUUCGUAUUUAUCAUGUAUAGAGGCCAAGGCCUUGUUAGGUUGUAUCAUAGAGUUAUGAAGUGCCGAUACAUCCACCUGUGGGUAGAGCUCUUUGACAUUAGGACAUCACGUUUGGUGUGCCUCUCCAAAGCACAUGCCAGAAUAUUCCAACUUGAUAUAUAUCCUUGCCUUUUUUUUUCCCUGAUAUAUUAGGAUUAAAAUUCUAUUUAUAUUUACAGUUAGAUCCAUAGCAAAUGUUCGAAUAUUUUAACUUUUACUUGAUACAUAUACACGCAAUGGAUAUGGAGAUUUCAAUAUUUAAGUCUUAAUUUUAGUCAUACAUCUAUUGGAUGAUGGAUAUAAAAUUAUUUAUUACUCUAUUCUAUCAUUCAAUUGAUAAAUGUCACAUCAAUUAAGACUCAAAUUAGUAAUCAAAUAUUGGGAUCUCUAGUAUUAAUCUCGCGCCCACACACACACACACACACACACGCACGCACGUAUACUUGCCCCUUUUUUUUUUUAUGCGCUAGUUUAGAAAUAAUUAAAAUUCGACUAAUAUUUAAAAUAAACAAAUCUACUUGGACUAGCUUUGACAAGCCUAUUAUCACAUAACUCAAACUUUUACCCUCUUUUAAUACCGAGAAAAUAUCUACUCUACCGAAAGCAAAAGUAAUGUUAGACAUUCUAAAAUUUUAUCCUAAAUUUUAUUUCAAAUAAUAUGACAUAUGAUUUACUAUUUAUUAAAUAGCUGAUGACAUUUUUAUAAAUUUUAAGUGAAUUAGUUACAUUAUUUCACCAAUCAAUGAAUGAUUGUCAUAUCACUUACGAUAUAAUUUUAGAAUAAAAUUCUAAAAUGUGUAGAAUUACUCCCGAGAUUAAUACUGAAUUAGAAACUUAUUACUAAAUUAAAUUGGAGGAAAAAUAGUCCCAACAAUCUCUCGGACUCGAAGACUUUGAGACAAUGGAUUGUGCCAAUUGGCAUAUAUGUACUAGCCUCUUAAUCUUGAAUAUUCUAUAUUGCUUUUAUCAAUUGCAUCAAUCUAGUUGAAAUUUAUUCCGAGUAUUUAAAAAUAUCUUUCCCACAUAUAUCGUUUGAUUACAUCUCAGUGCACUAAAAUUUAACAUUGAUCGUCAUUUUUUUUAAAGAGAAAAAGGCAAAGAAUGAUUUAUCACUCUUGAUUGGUUAGACAUGAUUGGGACCUUGUUAUGUUACAGAUUCUGUUUGUAACAUAGCAAAUAAAAAACUUACACGCGUGUUGGAUGAGAGAGAAAAAGCUGUUGAUGCAAGGUCCUGCAAGCUUACCUUGCCAAAGUUGUUACGUGCAAAAGCCGCAAUUUAGCCUCGUCCACAUGAUUGAUAUGUACAACUGCUACAGGAAAGGAAAAGGAUAAGAAAAAGAUAUCAGGUCAAUUGUCAUAAGUUGCGUACGUCAAUGGUAAUUAAUAAUGACAUUGUUAAGAAGCUAUAAGUCAAGUAACUUGCCGUAGGACCAACAUUGUUAGUAUUAGUGUAAUAUAUACAUAUAUAUCAACGGGAUCAAUAAUGUGAACAUGUGAUUAUUGGUAUAGAAUUAAAUGUUCUAAAAUAAAUGUCGC